GUCAGUGCAGUCUAGUGGUUUGAGCACUGGACUAGGACUCUAGAGACCAGGGUUUGAUUCCCAGUUUGGCCA